rnacentral:ncRNA from 1 species
UGGACCGGUCGCAACUGGCGUAGUGACGGAUCGUGAGCAGCUGGCGCAUCCGCCCGAGAUGGUUACCAUCGGGGAGCGACUGACACGGAUUCGGCCGCACGCCUGGGCCGAUACG